rnacentral:rRNA from 1 species
CCUACGGGUGGCAGCAGUGAGGAAUAUUGGUCAAUGGACGAGAGUCUGAACCAGCCAAGUAGCGUGAAGGAUGACUGCCCUAUGGGUUGUAAACUUCUUUUAUAUGGGAAUAAAACGUUCCACGUGUGGGAUUUUGUAUGUACCAUAUGAAUAAGGAUCGGCUAACUCCGUGCCAGCAGCCGCGGUAAUACGGAGGAUCCGAGCGUUAUCCGGAUUUAUUGGGUUUAAAGGGAGCGUAGGUGGAUUGUUAAGUCAGUUGUGAAAGUUUGCGGCUCAACCGUAAAAUUCCAGUUGAAACUGGCAGUCUUGAGUACAGUAGAGGUGGGCGGAAUUCGUGGUGUAGCGGUGAAAUGCUUAGAUAUCACGAAGAACUCCGAUUGCGAAGGCAGUUCACUGGACUGCAACUGACACUGAGGCUCGAAAGUGUGGGUAUCAAACAGGAUUAGAUACCCCUGUAGUC